GACGAACGCUGGCGGCGUGCUUAACACAUGCAAGUCACGGGGGCCCGCAAGGGCAACCGGCGAACGGGUGCGUAACACGUGAGCAACCUGCCGCGCUCUGGGGGAUAGCCGGCCCAACGGCCGGGUAAUACCGCAUACGCUCAUCGAGGGGAGUCCCUUGGUGAGGAAACCUCCGGGGGAGCGCGAGGGGCUCGCGACCUAUCAGCUAGUUGGCGGGGUAACGGCCCACCAAGGCGGUGACGGGUAGCUGGUCUGAGAGGAUGGCCAGCC
rnacentral:rRNA from 1 species